CAAUACAGGAAAAAGUCUAGUGGCGAACGGGUGCGUAACACGUGAGCAACCUGCCGUGAAGUGGGGGGAUAGCUCGCCGAAAGGCGAAUUAAUACCGCAUAUGGCCAAGGAAGACAUCUUCCUGACGCCAAAGCCGGGGUAACCUGGCGCUUCUCGAGGGGCUCGCGGCCUAUCAGCUUGUUGGUGAGGUAACGGCUCACCAAGGCUAUGACGGGUAGCUGGUCUGAGAGGACGACCAGCCACACUGGAACUGAGACACGGUCCAGACACC
rnacentral:rRNA from 2 species